GCCCGGGUAGCUCAAUCGGUAGAGCGCAUGGCUCUUAACCUUGUGGUCGAGGGUUCAAAUUUCCCUCGGGUG